UGCUUUUUUGAGACCGGCGCACGGGUGAGUAACGCGUAUGCAACCUACCUUAUACAGGGGAAUAGCCCGAAGAAAUUCGGAUUAAUGCUCCAUGGUUUAUCGAUAUGGCAUCGUAUUGAUAAUAAAGAUUUAUCGGUAUAAGAUGGGCAUGCGUAUCAUUAGCUAGUUGGUGUGGUAACGGCAUACCAAGGCAACGAUGAUUAGGGGUCCUGAGAGGGAGAUCCCCCACACUGGUACUGAGACACGGACCAGACUCCUACGGGAGGCAGCAGUGAGGAAUAUUGGUCAAUGGAGGCAACUCUGAACCAGCCAUGCCGCGUGCAGGAUGACGGUCCUAUGGAUUGUAAACUGCUUUUGUACAGGAAGAAACCUCCCUACGAGUAGGGACUUGACGGUACUGUAAGAAUAAGGAUCGGCUAACUCCGUGCCAGCAGCCGCGGUAAUACGGAGGAUCCGAGCGUUAUCCGGAAUUAUUGGGUUUAAAGGGUUCGUAGGCGGUCAGAUAAGUCAGUGGUGAAAUUUCCUAGCUUAACUAAGACACGGCCAUUGAUACUGUUUGACUUGAAUAGUAUGGAAGUAACUAGAAUAUGUAGUGUAGCGGUGAAAUGCUUAGAUAUUAC
rnacentral:rRNA from 1 species